rnacentral:rRNA from 1 species
ACAGCAGUCGCCACGGUAAUACGAAGGGUGCAAGCGUUACUCGGAAUUACUGGGCGUAAAGCGUGCGUAGGUGGUGGUUUAAGUCCGUUGUGAAAGCCCUGGGCUCAACCUGGGAAUUGCAGUGGAUACUGGGUCACUAGAGUGUGGUAGAGGAUAGUGGAAUUUCCGGUGUAGCAGUGAAAUGCGUAGAGAUCGGAAGGAACAUCUGUGGCGAAGGCGACUAUCUGGGCCAACACUGACACUGAGGCACGAAAGCGUGGGGAGCAAACAGGAUUAGAUACCCGGGUAGUCCCUGUCUCUUAUAC